UAUGCAAUUUCUCACUAACUUCCAGAC
rnacentral:piRNA from 1 species